rnacentral:rRNA from 1 species
UACGGGAGGCAGCAGUGGGGAAUAUUGCACAAUGGGCGAAAGCCUGAUGCAGCCAUGCCGCGUGUAUGAAGAAGGCCUUCGGGUUGUAAAGUACUUUCAGUUGUGAGGAAGGGGGUAACGUUAAUAGCGUUAUCUCUUGACGUUAGCAACAGAAGAAGCACCGGCUAACUCCGUGCCAGCAGCCGCGGUAAU